UGCCUAUUCACCCUAAAGGACACUGCUGGUAAGGGGGAAACUAUGUGCUCAGUCACCACAAUCCUGGGCAAUAAUUUUUAAUGGAUCCAUCUGAGACUACAAAGAUAUUACAGUUCAUAGGGUUUCGAAUGGAUUGUGGGAAUCUAACAACAAAUGUGGUUAUUCAGGUAUUAUUAAUAGCAGAUAUUUCCAGAGCUUUAAUGAUAGAAACCCUUUCAUCUAAAGUAAGGUGCUGCUCCUUCCAGCAAUCGAUAAGUUGGCUCCCAUCAACCUUUAUUUAAAAUAUCCCAAUGCAAUGUCCCUGUAAAUCAUUCUUGUGACAAUUUUGGGAUCAAAUUAAUAGCUUAGGUCUUUACCUUCAUAGCUAGCAAAUGCUGUGCUCUCGAUUGUCAGAAUAUUUGCCCUAAUAUCUGUCCCUAAGCAAUAUAUGAAGAAGAACAGCCUCUUGAUCGGCCUUUCCACCUGUUUUGCCUCCCUGAGUUAUUCUGAUUAAAUUUAUAUAUUCAUUUCCUCAGGGGGAAGAGGAAACUUUUGCUCAACACAGUGGGAUUAUACCUUCACAGAGACUGAAGAUUAGAGUUCUUGGCCAGGGUGUUUGAAAGUCAGUCAACAGUCUAACAAAUUAGCAACAGACCUAUUUUCUCUCCCUAGCAACCAACUUUAUAAACAAUGGCUGGCAGCUCUCUCACACACCACUCAAGCAAGA